GCACUUUGUGCAGCUCCUCUGGAUUUACCAAGCUCUCCCCACUCCCACCAGGAGAGCAUCUGCCCACUGUUUGGCUCUAUAAAUCUGCUGAGCACCCAUGUAGCAUGGUGGCUUCCAGCACGCCAAGCCUGACGGAGCUGUGGUCACCCAUACAGGAGGGAUGUGCCACAGGUACAGGUGCCCCAGCACCUCACCUCGGCAGCCUCCAUCUGUUUGAAGGGUGGCCUUGAGAAGAGCUCACCCUUCUCUGGAUAAGGGUGUCACCCCGCACAGCCCCGCUUCUCUGCUUGGGGAACCGAGCAUCAGUAACUCCCAUCCCCGUAGAGAUGGAGCCCCAGUUACUCUACUACAAAAAUCCUAAAUGAUGGCCAGCAAAUGGCCAGAAGUGGGCAAGAGACAAAGACAGACCCAGGCUCAAGUCUCCGUAACCUGCUGCAUCCCCAGAUGAGGACGUGCCGCCUCCGCAGCACACUUCAAAAGACCCAAAGCCCAUUAUGAGGAACAAUCAGCAGCAGAUUUUAAUAGAUGCAUUUUGCACUCAGCUGUCACCAUCUGCGUUUCCCCAUUAGAAAUGCAGGAUGAAUGAGCUCCACUGCCACAGCUGCGAGGCUCUGGGAGGGACGGCAGCUCGCAGCCAUCCCGGGGAGGAUGUUCCCAGGCUCGGGGCAUCGUCCUGUGUCCCCUGCUUCCCUUGGCCAAGGCGUGGGGACGGCACCUGCAGCGGGCUGGGGGACAGCCUGGGCAGGGACACCUCAACUGGAGAGGAGGCAAAGGGUGAAGGGAGUGCCCAGGCUGUGGACGGGGCCAUCGGACAAGCAGCCCCAAAACAGCCCCAAAGCUUGGCCAGGGGAAGAAGGUGACGUGGGUUGGAGAUGCCCAGCCACAAGCAGAGCCAGGGGAGCUGGAGGAAUCCGGCAGGAAGUGGGAGCCCACAAGCCAGUGGGAUAAUUACUUUUUUAAUCAAGUCUUUUCAAAACAUCUAAUUUUAUUACUUUAUUCUUCCAUUUCAAUAGCAGAACGAUUAAGAUGGAAUCUUAAAGGAAUUCUUCACAACAGUAAUAAUGUCUCUUAUCGCAAGAGGCAGUCUCUGUCUGCUCUGUCCUGCAAAUUCACAGCAUUUGAAUAUUAAAUAUAUUCAAUAUAUCAA